rnacentral:lncRNA from 1 species
CUCUGAAAGACUGGAAGUUCUUCGAGGGCAGUGAUUUUCUUGCAAGGCUAAAUCCUCAGUACCUGAAACAUGCUUCACACUUGCAAUCAAAGCAUAUGGACUAUAUUUUAAUUCUACAGACAUUGCGUUAGGCAGAACAGCUACCAACACCCAAUCCCUGAAAUUUGUGAUUAUGUUUUGAUACAUGGCAAAAGGAACUAUGCAGAUGUAAUUAAGGUUAAGAACUUUAAAAUAGGAAGAUUAAAUCCAAGGAGUUCUUCAAAGUAAAGAACUACUACAUGCAGAAGAUUGGGAAGAAAUAACAGAGAGUGCUUGAAGAAUAGAUGUGGCUAGGACAAUAUCUCUGAAUCUCUGAAUGGCCCAUGGUGGUGACCCCCAGCCAGAGUGAACUGUGCAGCAGCAAUGGUGCCCAGUGGGCAGCAACAGUGGAACAGAAGGUGAG